CCUACGGGAGGCAGCAGUGAGGAAUAUUUGUCAAUAGACGAGAGUCUGAACCAGCCAAGUAGCGUGAAGGAUGACUGCCCUAUGGGUUGUAAACUUCUUUUAUAUGGGAAUAAAAUGUUCCACGUGUGGGAUUUUGUAUGUACCAUAUGAAUAAGGAUCGGCUAACUCCGUGCCAGCAGCCGCGGUAAUACGGAGGAUCCGAGCGUUAUCCGGAUUUAUUGGGUUUAAAGGGAGCGUAGGUGGAUUGUUAAGUCAGUUGUGAAAGUUUGCGGCUCAACCGUAAAAUUGCAGUUGAAACUGGCAGUCUGGAGUACAGUAGAGGUGGGCGGAAUUCGUGGUGUAGCGGUGAAAUGCUUAGAUAUCACGAAGAACUCCGAUUGCGAAGGCAGCUCACUGGACUGCAACUGACACUGAGGCUCGAAAGUGUGGGUAUCAAACAGGAUUAGAUACCCCUGUAGUC
rnacentral:rRNA from 1 species